rnacentral:rRNA from 1 species
GUGCCAGCCGCCGCGGUAAUACGUAGGGGGCAAGCGUUGUUCGGAAUUACUGGGCGUAAAGGGCGCGUAGGCGGCACAGCAAGUCGGGAGUGAAAGCCCGGGGCUCAACCCCGGAACUGCUUUCGAAACUGCUGAGCUAGAGUACAGAAGGGGCAACCGGAAUUCCCAGUGUAGCGGUGAAAUGCGUAGAUAUUGGGAAGAACACCUGAGGCGAAGGCGGGUUGCUGGGCUGAUACUGACGCUGAGGCGCGAAAGCCAGGGGAGCAAACGGGAUUAGAUACCCUUGUAGUCC